UGGUGGAGAGUGAAAAUGGUUGGAGAUGAUAAACCAGAAGGAAAAGUGGUGGUGUGGAUUUUUUCCAAUUUCACUUUCAACCUCAAGGGUCCCUCUCUGCAUCCAUUCAUUUCAGAUGCAAAGAAAUCUACCUUUCAUUCAAAACAAUUCUCAUUAUAAAAAUUAAAAAUUAAAUAGAAAAAAAGUAAAAAAAUCUAAAUGGUCUUCAUUCACAGUUCAGCUUCUGCUUAGUGCUAUCCCCUCUUCCAAAAUUGUGGGAAUUUGGUAAAGUUUGUUCCUUUUUGUGAAUUCAUUUCUGGGUUUUGUUUUUUGAACCUUAACUCUUGUUGCUAAUGCUGAAACUUCAUUUAUGUAGUAACUGAAGAACUAGCAAGUUGUGAAAGUGUUGAUUUUUUUUCCACCAUCAAUGAUGAAUUCUCCAAUUCGUGCCCCUUCAUCACCUUCCUCUUCUUCUUGCUCCAGUAUUCAACCUCCUCCAUGUCUCACUCAUGCUUCUCGUAAUUUCAAGUUUCCUCUUUGCUAGAAUUUGAUGAUACACCAUGUUCCUAAAUCUGAACCACUGCCCUGUCUAUCAUAAGAUGUACGGAUUUUGUUGAAUCCAAUUCCAACAUUAUUGUAAUA